UGAAGGGUGGGGCAUGUAAUGCAGUGGCACAUUGUGGGAGGCGGAGCUCCAUGGUGUCAUAUAAAGGAGGUGUCAUGGUGGUGGUUUCAGUGUUGUUGACCAGGAUGCGCCUCCCUCUGGCAUACGUGAUGGCACUCACCGUUCUGGCAGGUUCUUGUCAGGGCGUGAUGGCAUCAUCCAUGGAGCAGGUGGUGGUUUUGGAGGGUGACGUGCUGACACUGUCCUGCAACUUCUCCGGGGGCGACACCGGACUGUCCUGGUACCAGAAGAAACAAGGUUCACCUCCACAGCUGCUGGUCAGAGAGUAUUCCCAAGCAGAAGACGAUUUAACAAAGUUCAGACGUGACGGAAGCAUGGGGACGUUCCAUGUGGACCUGAGGUGGUCUUCACUGCACCCCCAUGUUGUCAUCUACUGUGCUGUGAGGCCCACAGUGACUGUGACAGUGCACGUGGCUGCACAAUAACCGCACUGCAUCAUGCACAUGACCACUUCUCACUCUGUGUGUGCGUGUGUGUGUGUGUGUGCGAGAAGCACCUCCCACAGUGGGAUUAGGCCCUGCCUCCUCAGCCACCAAGUCAGCGUACAAGCAGCCCAGGAGUGCAAA